AGGUUUGCAGGGAUAAACAUAAGCAGCCUCGGAUUUGGCAGGAUGUUAGUCAUGUCAAGGGGUGAGAUGACGUGCAAGCCUGCCUUCUUUGUGUUUAGAAGUUUCUUUUUGUGCUUAAAAACGCCCCCUCGCAUAUGGUGAAUGAUCUUCCGUUAAAGCUCCAAGGUUUUGUCCUCGAAAUUAGUCAAAGGCAAAUAUAAAUAACACAAAGGCUUAAGAAGUUGGAAGGAACUCAGAGUAAUCAAAGUGAAAUUUCGAAUCUCAUUCAUGAUGUCGCAACUAUAUUAAACUACAGAUACAAAGAGUUUCCUUGGCUUUGGCUGUGGCUGUGGCUAGCUGAAGAGUAAAAGAAAUAGAAAUGAUGAUUGCCAUUUGCACAAAACUAAAAAAUGUAAGUCAUAGUCAUGUUACUCUUUCAUUGCCAUUUGUAAACUCAGUUUUUCUUUGAUUGCGAAAGCGGCUGGUGUACACUCACAUGGAGUGGUUCUCAUGUAAAUAUUCCCACUUCAUAGUUUUUGAUUUAGUUUUAUAAUGUUUUUAUA